AACAGGAAAAGAAAGAAAAGCACAUAGAAACAGCAAAGACACCAAAAAAGGAACAUCCAGAAGCUGAGCAAGCCAAAGAAGAGAUUGCUCCUGCCUCAACAAAAAAGGCCCUGCAUGGAAAGAAAGAAGAGAAAGCCAAGACAGUGGAGCAAGGUAAAAAAAAAAGUGAAGCAGGUUGACAUUAUCUUCUUUAGGAAGAAAACUACAUGAGGAGGAAAACACUGGAUUCAGACAGGCGGAAGACAAUUAUCUUUAAAUCUCUUGCUCUAGAGCAAUGUCCUUGCAUUUGUUCAGGACAGGGAGGAUGUGGGAUGACUGUCUGGCCUUGUCUUUUUAUUGUUUACCAAGUUCUGAGUAUAAAUUCAGAAAAGCAAAUGUGUAUAGACUGCUUCCUUACGUCAGCGUCAGCAGAGAAGCUGAAGAGUGAUAAUGAGAUGAGCUAGAUAACUGGUAGACAUUUUUUUUUCUGUUUGACCUUUUGUUUUCCAUACCACCUCAGAGAUAAUAGUUCAAAGAAUAAACAUGAUUCAAACUUAUUUAUGAUAAAAAAUAAUUGUAUUACUUUAAAAAUAAUUUGUUAUAUUAAGACACUGGGGUAAACAAUAUAAAAGUUAUUAUAGUUGAUAUCAUGACUUUGGUUUUCGUGGUUGAUUUACACAAAAAAAGCCUGAAAAUUUAUUGUUAUGCAUUGUAAAGUCAUAUAUAUACAUAUACACAUAUAUAUAUUUGGUAUACCACAAUAUCACUCUAGAAUAUGCUUUAAACAUGCUCUUGACCACUGUCUGAUAUCAUUGAAAGUGAUACUUUGCCUUUUCUUAAAACUGAAAAAAUUAAGGAUUUGUGAGCUUUGAAAAAUGAAAAUAAUAUGAUAGUUAUAUCAAUAAAGGUUUUCCUUUUAUUGUGGCUUCUGGGUACC
rnacentral:lncRNA from 1 species